UUCUGUCUACUGGGAUUCUGUACCAAGCUUUCCAAACUGAGACUUCCCUGCUAGAUGAAGACCGAAGGAAUUUCAGACUUAUUCCAAGUCCGUUCGCGUGACUUCCCCCUUAAGUUUAGAUUUCCCAAGUAUUGGCAUUACUGUUGGUUGUUUAAAUAGAUUACAAAAUAGGCUCUGGAAAAAAAGGAGGAAAGAUGUAUGAAUAACCUUUUAAAAAAAUACUCUAUACCAUAGUUGGUAUUACAUACAGGAUCCUAUCUGGCUCCGAAAUUUUUAUGAAGGGGGAAGUGGGUGGGAGUGGAAGCCACAAGAUCUAACUAAAACGUCAAAAUUCCCCAAAAAGAAAAAUGCUGUAAUAAAGAAUCCUUAUUCUAAAUGCCAACUUGACACAUUAAAAGCUUUUGAAUCUCAUUUAUGAAAGGAAUGCAUUUAUAUUAACCACUUAGUUAAUGAUGUUUAAAGGGAAUGAUAUGAAUGUUUAAGAUUUUAAAGUAUGCUACAAAUAGAAUGGUAUUUUUUUAAUUCUCAGAUUUGCCUUUAUUUUGCAAAAAAAAAAAAAAAAAAAGAAGUAACUGUCUCUAUCUCCACCUCUGCUCUUAGUUUAGCCUAGGCUGUAUUCGCUACUUGCCCCCAAAUCUGACCUUUAGCCAAAGAGAAAGACCUAUUAAAGUCUUAUCUCAAGAAAUUACCUGCAGUCAAACAUAGUCAGGCUCCCUAGUGAUUACCAAAUCUCCCUCUGUGUCUUCUCUCACCUUCAACUGAAGUUAGCACUAGCUUGAUGACCUUCAUAUCUGAUAUUAGAUAAUAUUUCUUGUUCUUAAUUCCCACCCACAGCUCUCUCCCUGCUGCCUGGAUCACUUUCAUCUCAAGGAGGCUAAUUAAUGGGGUGAGAGUAGGGGGACUGGGAAAGAAGGGUGUUGCAUUCAACGGGGUUCCCAGAACUGAAAACAAUACCUCAGAAGUAAUCUGACCAAGACAGAGUACAGUGGGACUUUCUUUGUUCUGUACUCUAAUGUUAUCUUGGGUUGCCAUGUCAGCACUGACACAUUUUGAGCUUUCAAUCUACUAAGACCCUCAGAUUUUUUCCACAGAAACUCUUGUUUCUAAGACUCCCCUGAACUUGUAACCUUGUAGUAGAUUGAGUUACAGACUUGGUGUCAGGAAAAAUUGGUCCAGAUUCCACUUCUAAUACUUAAAAAUUUUGUGCCAAUGCACAAAUCCUUUAUCCCUUUUGAGCUUCUUUUUUCAUUUGUAAAGUGGGGAUAAUAAUACACUCUAAUACUCACAGGUUUGUUAUGAGACUUAAAAUGAUGUAAUCUAUGUCAAAUGCUUCAUAAAUCUUAAAAUGCCAUAAAAUGCCAGAGAGGCAGCCUCAGUGAAGGAAGAUCUGGGUUGUUUCACUUCAUACAUUUUGCCUGUGCAACCAGGGACAAAUUUUCUUGAUUGAGAUCUCAGGGCCCCCAUGUAACUCUUAGACUAUAAAUUGCUAAAUAGUAGCCCAUGUGCA
rnacentral:lncRNA from 1 species